GGUCAGAUGGCACUGGAGAAUCUGAAGUUACAGAGUUAUUCUUGGGAUUUGUUAGAAGUACUUACUUGAUCGACCACCACCAGACAGACAACAGGUGAAUGCAGGUAGGUUCUGCUCAACAUGCAGCAAGGUUUUCCAAAUGGGCACUGUGCUUUUCUGUAAUAAGGAAGCUUGUAACCACAGAGGGAGUAGUUUGUCAAGCCAUAGAAGGAGUCAUCUAAAUUUUGAUGCUAAGUAAACAUUUAACCUCAUACCAGAUUGAAGGAGGUACCUUGUUAAUUUGCACUUUGAUGAACGCUAAGGUUGUGCAGAAUUAAUGCCUUACCUGUUCUGCUCCCUGCCGUUUAGGUUAAUAAGCUUUGUAACAGUUAAAGUUAAAUUGAACCAAAAAGCUGUAGGACUGCAAGAUGCUCAGCUCUGUAGGUUAGGUUUGUCCCCCACGCUUCGCUCUCAGCAGAGGAGGUGUCGGAAGUACAGCAGUGACAGUACAAACCUGCCCCCGUGUUUUAUUGUGAUAGAACCAUUUGCUGCAUUUCUGUUUUUACAAGCAUUCCCUUCCCUUGUGCAGACUGACCAACAGAUCUUUGACCAUGAUUGGUGUAUUCUGUCCAACUGUAGGCUAGUUGAACUUCUGUAAAGUUGCCUGGAAUGCCAUUUGUUAGGCUCCAAACUCGCACAGACCUAAAUGAAGGGUUAUCCAUAUUGUGUAUAAAUCUUAAUUUCAGAGAUUUGAGGAGAUUUGUCAUUACAUUUGUAAAAUCUUGUACAGAAGAUUUUUCACUAUGUGCCUAGCUUUGGUGUCCAUUCAGCUGAAAUUAAUUAAGAAAGGUGCAUGAAGAGAAACAGAAAUAAAAAGUAUAUGUAGAGAUGACUAUUUUAUAUUACAUGGCCCAAUCUGUAUUUAUUUUCUCCCUUUUUUUGAAGUAUUUAUAAAGACCUAGUUGAAGACAGCUGUAUUUUUUGUUAAAAUAUUCAGUAGACUUGUGCCUUUUUGUCUGUAUGUGAAUAAACGCUGUACAUUUUUGCAGUA
rnacentral:lncRNA from 1 species